UACGUAGGGUGCGAGCGUUAAUCGGAAUUACUGGGCGUAAAGCGUGCGCAGGCGGUUCGUUGUGUCCGUCGUGAAAGCCCCGGGCUUAACCUGGGAACUGCGAUGGAAACUAGCGAGCUGGAGUGUGGCAGAGGGACGUGGAAUUCCACGUGUAGCAGUGAAAUGCGUAGAGAUGUGGAGGAACACCGAUGGCGAAGGCAGCCUCCUGGGCCAGCACUGACGCUCAUGCACGAAAGCGUGGGGAGCAAACAGG
rnacentral:rRNA from 1 species